GAUGAACGCUGGCGGCGUGCCUAACACAUGCAAGUCGAGCGAUUUACUUCGGUAAAGAGCGGCGGACGGGUGAGUAACGCGUGGGUAACCUGCCCUGUACACACGGAUAACAUACCGAAAGGUAUGCUAAUACGAGAUAAUAUACUUUUAUCUCAUGGUAGAAGUAUCAAAGCUCUGGCGGUACAGGAUGGACCCGCGUCUGAUUAGCUAGUUGGUAAGGUAACGGCUUACCAAGGCGACGAUCAGUAGCCGACCUGAGAGGGUGGAUCGGCCACAUUGGAACUGAGACACGGUCCAAACUCCUACGGAGGCAGCAGUGGGAAUAUUGCACAAUGGGCGAAAGCCUGAUGCAGCAACGCCGCGUGAGCGAUGAAGGCCUCGGUCGUAAGACUCUGU
rnacentral:rRNA from 1 species